UACGUAGGGUGCGAGCGUUAAUCGGAAUUACUGGGCGUAAAGCGUGCGCAGGCGGGCUUUUAAGCCAGAUGUGAAAUCCCCGGGCUUAACCUGGGAACUGCAUUUGUGACUGCAUGGCUGGAGUGCGGCAGAGGGGGAUGGAAUUCCGCGUGUAGCAGUGAAAUGCGUAGAGAUGUGGAGGAGCACCGAUGGCGAAGGCAGCCCCCUGGGUCAAGAUUGACGCUCAUGCACGAAAGCGUGGGGAGCAAACAGG
rnacentral:rRNA from 1 species